CAAGGUAUAAGGCCUCACAUUACGAGGCUUCUAGAUCAAGGCAUCCUAAUCCCCUGCCGGUCGCCUUGGAAUACGCCUCUUCUGCCUGUUAAGAAACCCGGCACUGGAGAUUAUAGGCCAGUACAAGACUUGAGAAAGGUCAACAAGAGGAUAGAAGAUAUUCAUCCGACUGUUCCAAACCCUUACAAUUUGCUCAGUAACUGUUCAUCGAUGAGAAACAGGGGUAUGCUAAAGGGGUCCUAACACAAAGGUUGGGACCCUGGAAACGCCCUGUGGCCUACCUGUCUAAGAAAUUGGACCCUGUGGCCUCCGGCUGGCCACCGUGCCUAAGGAUGGUGGCUGCUAUUGCUGUCCUGAUCAAGGAUGCUGGAAAAUUGACUUUGGGACAGCCACUCACCAUCCUAACACCCCACGCAGUGGAGGCCUUGGUAAAGCAGCCCCCAGACCGCUGGCUCUAUAAUUCUCACACCAAGCCUUGUUACUGGAUACAGAACGGGUUCAGUUUGGGCCCGUAGUCGCCCUCAAUCCUGCCACCUUGCUUCCUCUACCAGAGGAGACAAAACAACAUGACUGCCUACAAAUCCUCACAGAAGUACAUG
rnacentral:lncRNA from 1 species